GGGGCGGGGCUGCGUGUGCGGCGUCAUGACGUAAGCGCACGCCGGCGCGCCGGAGGGGAGGAAUGCGGCAGGCGGAAAACUUAGGAAGAGCUGAAUGCCUUCCACGGAGAGCGUCCCUUCCAAGCGGCCCCGGAGUGGAGUGGAGUGGAGUGGAUAGGGGUAGACUUUUCACACGGGGACAAAUUAUUACAGGAUAUCUGCACCCCCCGUUCCGAGUCACUCGGGCGCAUCGGUUACUUCAGCAGGUUCUCUGCAUCACGGACCCUUUUGAGGCUCAGGCCCUGUCCUACCAUGAGCUGAAGAGGCAGCAACAUACGUGUUUGGAGUUUAGUAGGGACUGAGAAGCGGGGAAAAGAACUGCCUCACCAAAGAGAUGGUAUCUCGAUGUGUUCUCCUGGCUGGCCUUGAACUCCUGAGCUCUAGUGAUCCUCCCGCCUCAGCAUCUCAAAGUGCUGGGAUUACAGGCAUAAGCCACCAUGCCCAGCCUAUUUCUUGAAAUUUGGUCUCCAACCAUGACAAAAAACUGGCCAUUGCCUAAUCAGGUACUGUUAAGCUGUUAAGGUUGAACUGUGUCCCCCAAAAGAUAUGUUGAAAUCCUAUCCCAAGUAUCUCAGAGUGUGACCUUACUUAGAAACAGGGUGGUUGCAGGUACAAACAAGUCAAGAUGAGGUCAUACUGAUGAGAUGGGCCCUAAUCCAGAGACCGUUGAAAUGAGAAGAGGAAAUUUGGACACAGAGACGCAGACACAUGGGAAGAACACUACGUAGUAAAGGAGGCAGAAACUGGAGUCACGCGUCCACAAAACAAAAAAUGCCAAAGAUUGCCAACGACUGCCAGAAACUAGGAAGAAUCAAGGAGGGAUUUUCCUGCUCUCUCAGCUCUCCACUAAAUGAGGAUACAACGAGACAACUGCUGUCUGCAUGCACACCAGGAAGAGUGCCCUCCCCAGACACCAGAUCUGCUGGCACCUUGAUCCUGGACUUCCCAGCCUCCAAAACUGUGGGAAAUAAUUGUUUAAGUCAAAAAGAAAAAAAUAAAAAAGUAAAUUUCUUCCCCUAGAACCUUUAGAGAGAGCAUGACCCUUCAAUUU